AACGAACGCUGGCGGCAUGCCUAACACAUGCAAGUCGAACGAGACCUUCGGGUCUAGUGGCGCACGGGUGCGUAACGCGUGGGAACCUGCCCUUAGGUUCAGAAUAACUCCCCGAAAGGGGUGCUAAUACCGGAUAAUGUCUUCGGACCAAAGAUUUAUCGCCUUUGGAUGGGCCCGCGUUGGAUUAGCUAGUUGGUAGGGUAAAAGCCUACCAAGGCGACGAUCCAUAGCUGGUCUGAGAGGAUGAUCAGCCACACUGGGACUGAGACACGGCCCAGACUCCUACGGGAGGCAGCAGUGGGGAAUAUUGGACAAUGGGCGAAAGCCUGACCCAGCAAUGCCGCGUGAGUGAUGAAGGCCUUAGGGUUGUAAAGCUCUUUUACCCGGGAUGAUAAUGACAGUACCGGGAGAAUAAGCUCCGGCUAACUCCGUG
rnacentral:rRNA from 1 species